GUGCUCGAUUAAGUAGCACAUAGACUAAAACUGGAAUGACACAGAGAAGAUUAGAUGGCCCCUGUGCAAGGAUGACGCACAAAUUCGUGAAGUGCUCCAUAUUUUU